UUCGUUGGAAAUAAAUUUUAUUAAUUGAAUUCUAUUUUGUCAGGUUGACAGUACGUUGUGCUUAGUAUUUUAAAUCAAGGUGAGUGGAAGUUGUUUUCUGAAUGCGAACAUAUUUAACGCCUUGUUGCUUACCUUCGGGAUAUUUAAAAGUCCAGCGUUCGUUCAGCUGUAUCAUGAAUAGUUUUAAAGCUAACAAAGCAUAAUCAGCUUUUUGACUUCAAGCCAAGCACCCGAGGCAAAUUUUUCAACGAAGUCCGUGGAAAUCUGUACUAUGUUCGGCGUUAUCGAGUAAUUGUUAUAUUCCGAAUCUCCUAUAUUUACGCAUGGCACUAGAAAUAUGUUUUAUCAUCGGCGCUACAUUAAGUUCCGUUAUUUUACAUGCAUUAAUAAAAUAUUCUGAUCUCCGGUCCCCACAUCACUUUGAUACGGAAGGGAAUCGUUUAGCUAAAACAUUAUCUCAAUGUUAUCCAUAUCUUAGGGACAGUAAGUGGAGCUCUACUAUCGAGUUCUCAGUUCGGUAUCAAGCUUGGAGUUGAACAUAUAUAUUGAAACAAUCAUUUAUAGUAGUCCGAAACCCACACUUAUUUAAUUUAUUUGUGUAGAAUACAAUGGUUAAUUGCGAACAGUCAACUAAGCAAUUCGUAAUUAUUAAUAAUAAUGUAUAUACGAUAAUUUUACUCCUGGUCCAUUAUAUUUUGGCAUGCAGGUAGUAAGAGCAUCGGUCGUUGUUGAUAUUCUUGUAGG
rnacentral:misc_RNA from 1 species